CCUACGGGAGGCAGCAGUGGGGAAUAUUGCACAAUGGGGGAAACCCUGAUGCAGCGACGCCGCGUGAGUGAAGAAGUAAUUCGUUAUGUAAAGCUCUAUCAGCAGGGAAGAAAAUGACGGUACCUGAGUAAGAAGCUCCGGCUAACUACGUGCCAGCAGCCGCGGUAAUACGUAGGGGGCAAGCGUUAUCCGGAUUUACUGGGUGUAAAGGGAGCGUAGACGGCAGUGCAAGUCUGGAGUGAAAGGCGGGGGCUCAACCCCCGGACUGCACUUGAAACUGUACGGCUGGAGUGCAGGAGAGGUGAGUGGAAUUCCUAGUGUAGCGGUGAAAUGCGUAGAUAUUAGGAGGAACACCAGUGGCGAAGGCGGCUUACUGGACUGUAACUGACAUUGAGGCUCGAAAGCGUGGGUAGCAAACAGGAUUAGAUACCCCAGUAGUC
rnacentral:rRNA from 1 species